GAAGUGUUCUGUUUAUAUAAUCUCAUUAUACAUAAAAUUCUAUGUGUUUGGUACAAUUAUUCCCAUUGUAAAUGAUAGAAUACUGAGACUAACAAUAAAGAGUCUCAAGAUUAAGUGACUUCUGCAAAGUCAGACCACUAGUAAAAUGUACAUAUAGAAAUUUAAAUCCAGUAUUGCUUGAUUCAAGAACCUUUGCGAUCUUAAAUAUUACACUAUACAACCUAGAUAUGACCUGCAAUGAGUUGAUAUAAAUUAAGAUACCACUUACAUGUAAGUACAGGACAAUGUCUAGAUAGAGAGCCAGAGAUAGUCUUUGUUUUUCAGGACAAAGGGGCCUGUUUGGUCCAGUAGCAAGAAUAGACACAGCUGUGUCAGCUAAACCUGGGUUCACCGCUUACUGGAUCUGGACUCUUGGCUAAGGGAUAUGCUAGAUGAUUUGCCUUUGUCCCUCUAGAUCUACUCUCUGCCCUUCUAUUCCUUGCUCUAUGCCCAGGAUGCUGAGUGGUAACUGACUGUGUCAGAAGGUUCCCUUCCCCUCGGGCUUCCAGUUGGUUGGGCCAAUGGGUCGAUGUACAUCAGAGGUGGAAAGGAGAGUGACGUCAAUAUAUUUUUUCCCUGUUUCUCUUUCUGCAUAGUCACUGAGCAGGACUCCCAAAGGCCACCACUGCUGUCCAGCACCCCUCUCAAUGCAGCUACUCCCAGUGGGUUGUGGAACCACUCUCUCCUGUGUCUUCAAGUAUAGAGGUGGAAACAGCUGUCUGCUGUUGCUUGCACCAAGAUGUAGGCUCCAUUUCUACAGAUGCCUCAUGAUCAGGGAUAGCUGCUCAAGUUCUCCCUAUUACAUCACAUGUCCUCCAUCAGUUUUCAACUGCAGAGAACUGAAUCUGCUCCAGCUACUUGACACACAAAUGGCUCUAUUCCUGUACUAAAGAGCUUCUGGAAUCCUAGACAAGGCAGAAACACAAACUCUGUGUUAAUAUUUUGGGACUAACACCCAAAGUCACCUGAAAGAGUUGGGCCACCAAGGUAGCUACUGUCCCUUCUUGUCCCUUCUAUGACCAAGAAGCUCCUUUUCUGAUUGGAAUGCUGUCACUCCACUUGCUGGGUCCAGAACCUCAGAGCUCCUGCACAAUGAGGGAGCUGCAAUCCCAGGAAGCCACACAAUCCCAAAGCUGUAAUGAUUGGGAAUCUCAUACCACAGAUGCUGUCUUCAGAACCAAGCUGUUUCUGCUUCGGUCUGCACCCAUGACUUCAGUGACCAGAAAUGAAGACCUCAGCAAAUGCUUCUUCCCAGCAUAACUGAAUGCUUGCCCAGUGGGGCUUGCCAGAAGGAACAACAGAAGCAACACCUCUCCAUUUUGCUUUACAUCUACCUUCCAAAUCAUCACUUGUGUACCUGAGGGGUCGAGCAUUCACCGCAUACAAAAGCAUAGCUGCAAGAAAUUGGGGGAAAGUCAUUUUUAGCUUUUCAGUCUUUGAAACAUAAAAAGACACUCUAGAAGGGAGUUGCAAUAGACAGUAAGUGUUAAUUCACAAUUCCGCCAAAAUAUUCCAGGAAGAGGGAAGGAGAAAGAAAGGGGAAGGAUAAAAGGACAUCCUCCUUCACUAGCUCAGUGAUCUUUAAGAAACUUUUCAUGAAGCCCCACUAGAUGAUUUUCAUUUGCCCUUCAUUACCUACUCUUAACUGCAGGGGAGACUGGGAAAUGCAGAACUUUAGCUAUAUGUGUUGCCUCCCAGAAUAAAAUGGGGUUUUGUUAGAAAGAAGUAAAUAAACAAGAUAAUGAAUAUUUGGUGGGUAAUUAAUACAGCUGACCCUGGAACAGCACAG
rnacentral:lncRNA from 1 species